GGAGGAGUGGCAGAGUGGACGAAUGCACCGGUCUUGAAAACCGGAGUACCAGAAAUGGUACCGGGGGUUCAAAUCCCUCCUCCUCCG
rnacentral:tRNA from 1 species